rnacentral:rRNA from 1 species
AUGAUGUGGACGGAGCAGGUGACUGACGCCGGGAAGGAGGGCUUUGCCGGAGCCUACAGCGACAACGGCAUGGGCGGAGGAGUUCCCACGGGGGACGAGUCGACCUCGCGGUUGACGCAGCUCACCUGGCCGUCGUGUGCUCGCCGCCGCGCGUGCUGGCUUCCGUGGGCCUGGGAGGCCGCCGCACGUGCUGGCCUCUGCGAGUGCGCUGGCAGCCGCAAACUGGCCUUCGGGUGCUGGCCGAGUAUGCUAACUGGCCUCUGCGUGCUAGCCAUGGCUAAACUGGCCUUCACGCCCGCUGCCGUUGUUGCUAUUUUGCACGGGCAGUAG